GACGAACGCUGUCGGCGUGCUUAACACAUGCAAGUCGAACGGAAAGGCCCUGCUUUUGUGGGGUGCUCGAGUGGCGAACGGGUGAGUAACACGUGAGUAACCUGCCCUUGACUUUGGGAUAACUUCAGGAAACUGGGGCUAAUACCGGAUAGGAGCUCCUGCUGCAUGGUGGGGGUUGGAAAGUUUCGGCGGUUGGGGAUGGACUCGCGGCUUAUCAGCUUGUUGGUGGGGUAGUGGCUUACCAAGGCUUUGACGGGUAGCCGGCCUGAGAGGGUGACCGGCCACAUUGGGACUGAGAUACGGCCCAGACUCCUACGGGAGGCAGCAGUGGGGAAUAUUGCACAAUGGGCGGAAGCCUGAUGCAGCAACGCCGCGUGCGGGAUGACGGCCUUCGGGUUGUAAACCGCUUUCGCCUGUGACGAAGCGUGAGUGACGGUAAUGGGUAAAGAAGCACCGGCUAACUACGUGCCAGCAGCCGCGGUGAUACGUAGGGUGCGAGCGUUGUCCGGAUUUAUUGGGCGUAAAGGGCUCGUAGGUGGUUGAUCGCGUCGGAAGUGUAAUCUUGGGGCUUAACCCUGAGCGUGCUUUCGAUACGGGUUGACUUGAGGAAGGUAGGGGAGAAUGGAAUUCCUGGUGGAGCGGUGGAAUGCGCAGAUAUCAGGAGGAACACCAGUGGCGAAGGCGGUUCUCUGGGCCUUUCCUGACGCUGAGGAGCGAAAGCGUGGGGAGCGAACAGGCUUAGAUACCCUGGUAGUCCACGCUGUAAACGGUGGGUACUAGGUGUGGGGUCCAUUCCACGGGUUCCGUGCCGUAGCUAACGCUUUAAGUACCCCGCCUGGGGAGUACGGCCGCAAGGCUAAAACUCAAAGGAAUUGACGGGGCCCCGCACAAGCGGCGGAGCAUGCGGAUUAAUUCGAUGCAACGCGUAGAACCUUACCUGGGUUUGACGUGGAUCGGGAGUGCUCAGAGAUGGGUGUGCCUCUUUUGGGGUCGGUUCACAGGUGGUGCAUGGCUGUCGUCAGCUCGUGUCGUGAGAUGUUGGGUUAAGUCCCGCAACGAGCGCAACCCUUGUUCACUGUUGCCAGCACGUUAUGGUGGGGACUCAGUGGAGACCGCCGGGGUCAACUCGGAGGAAGGUGGGGAUGACGUCAAGUCAUCAUGCCCCUUAUGUCCAGGGCUUCACGCAUGCUACAAUGGCUGGUACAGAGAGUGGCGAGCCUGUGAGGGUGAGCGAAUCUCGGAAAGCCGGUCUCAGUUCGGAUUGGGGUCUGCAACUCGACCUCAUGAAGUCGGAGUCGCUAGUAAUCGCAGAUCAGCAACGCUGCGGUGAAUACGUUCCCGGG
rnacentral:rRNA from 1 species